rnacentral:misc_RNA from 1 species
UAUUUUCAAUGGAAAAUUCAUUCAAAUUCAGAAUUCGAGUCCUCAUACUCAAGUUCUAAUACUAUAGCUGAGGAAAAACACACUGAAAUCUCGCAAUUUGUUCUCUUUGAUAUUAAUCCAUCUGCUCAGCCGUCAAAGAGGUAGGUAUUUUCUGUCUCUGUAUUAUUUUGUCAUAGGUAGAAGAUUAUAUAUAUGGUCAGUGGAAUAAAGUUUUGAUCACUUCACUGGUGUCUUCCAAUGAGAGAGAAGAAAAAGAAAUUAGAGUGUUGGAGAAGGCAGAUUACUGUUUCUUCAACGCUCUUUGGUAUAAAUUUUUGUAAGUAGAUUGUUGCAAAAUUUCCAUUAAAUGGUCUGAAAUUGUUGUUUGGAUCCCUUGUUGACUUGCUAAGACUUGGAUUAAUUUGUCGAUCUAAUCAAUGGUAGUUGUUACAGGGCUUACAAAUUCAAGGAUAGCCUUUUAUACAUGUGGAUAUAUUUCAUAAUCAGGUUUCUGUCAGUUUUGGAAAACUCACAUAAGUGGUUUGUGGUUGUAUUAGCUACACGGCAUGAGCAAUUUAGUACUGUUUUCUAAUAAUAAGAUGGAGUGCAAAUGCAUGAUGACAAUGCCCACUAGAAGAUUAG